GACGAGGUGGCCGAGUGGUUAGGUGGCCGCUAACACAGUGGUUAUGGCGAUGGACUGCUAAUCCAUUGUGCUCUGCACGUGGGUUCGAAUCCCAUCCUCGUCG
rnacentral:tRNA from 1 species